GACGAACGCUGGCGGCGUGCUUAACACAUGCAAGUCGAACGGGCGUAGCAAUACGUCAGUGGCAGACGGGUGAGUAACGCGUGGGAACGUACCUUUUGGUUCGGAACAACCCAGGGAAACUUGGGCUAAUACCGGAUAAGCCCUUACGGGGAAAGAUUUAUCGCCGAAAGAUCGGCCCGCGUCUCGAUUAGCUAGUUGGUGAGGUAAUGGCUCACCAAGGCUACGAUCAGUAGCUGGUCUAAGAGGAUGAUCAGCCUCACUGGGACUGAGACACGGCCCAGACUCCUACGGGAGGCAGCAGUGGGGAAUAUUGGACAAUGGGCGCAAGCCUGAUCCAGCCAUGCCGCGUGGAUGAUGAAGGCCCUAGGGUUGUAAAGUCCUUUUAACGGGAAGAUAAUGACGGUACCCGUAGAAUAAGCCCGGCUAACUUCGUGCCAGCAGCAGCCGCCGUAAC
rnacentral:rRNA from 1 species